UGGCGAGAUGGCGUGGGGGGAUCGGAGUUAGAGGCAGGGAGGAGGGGGGGAAGUUUCUCGGGGGAGGCAAAAAAAAGUUUUCUCUCCUCUGCAAAAGGCGGGCAGGGCGCCCUAAGUCCAAGGACAAUCCAUGGAAGUGUUCGCUUCUUCACAAGUUGUGCAAACGAUUUGUUAGUUCAUGAGCCUAAUUAGUGCGGGGAUCACAUAAACAGCUUCCUCCGAAGCCUGGUAAAUGGCUUGAUGAUUGGUCGCUAUUACUCGCCCUGAGGUGGAAGGGGGGAGACUCUUUAAAGUGCGUCAGAGAGAGGCGAGCGCCUGGGAACCCGGAGGCCUGGAUCCCGGCCGAGUGUGGAACGGAGUCGGCGCCGCUGCCUCGGCCGAGCCUCCUGCGCCCGCCAGGCCCCCGGCCUCGCCGCGCCUUCUCCCCGCGCUCCAAGCUCACUCGCUCCCGCGGCGCCCGCUGUGGCUUCUCCUCCUCCUCUUUCGCCUCCUCCUCUUCCUUCGGCCUCCUCUCCUCCUUCUCCUCCUCCUCCUCCUCCUCUUCCUCCUUCUUCUCCUCCUCCUCUUCUUCCUCCUCCUCUUUCCCCACCUCCUCCCCUUCUGCCACCGCCUCCUCCUUCACCACCACCACUCCCUCCGGGGCAACCGGGUCCCUGCAGAGUCCCCGGCCCGCGCCGCCUCUGCUGCGGCCCCCUGGAUCCCGAACUGGUGGGACAGACGGACAGACGGACACGCAGAUCCCUCGCGCCCAGCUCUCGGUAGCUGCUGACCCCCGUGGCCCCGCGUCCGGGAAGCUGGGCUCGCCCCCGGAGCACCGCGAGGGUAAGCAGGCAGGGAUGGAUUCCGGGCGAGGGCUAACGGAGCUGUUCGGUUACAUCAGUCCCCACCUCCAGCGGAACUCCAGGCGGUUUCCCAGGCUAUAG
rnacentral:lncRNA from 1 species